UGCCAGACUCCUACGGGAGGCAGCAGUGGGGGAUAUUGCACAAUGGGGGAAACCCUGAUGCAGCGACGCCGCGUGGGCGAAGAAGUAUUUCGGUAUGUAAAGCCCUAUCAGCAGGGAAGAAGAAAUGACGGUACCUGAGUAAGAAGCACCGGCUAAAUACGUGCCAGCAGCCGCGGUAAUACGUAUGGUGCAAGCGUUAUCCGGAUUUACUGGGUGUAAAGGGAGCGUAGACGGCGAGGUAAGCCUGAAGUGGAAGCCCGCGGCCCAACCGCGGAACUGCUUUGGGAACUGUUUUGCUGGAGUAUGGGAGGGGUAAGCGGAAUUCCUGGUGUAGCGGUGAAAUGCGUAGAUAUCAGGAGGAACACCGGUGGCGAAGGCGGCUUACUGGACCAUAACUGACGUUGAGGCUCGAAAGCGUGGGGAGCGAACAGGGUUAGAUACCCCCGUAGAU
rnacentral:rRNA from 1 species